GUAAGACGCACUGUAGCUUGACACUGCUUCUUUUGUUGAGCACCCUGCUCCUUCAGGCACCCAUAGUGCCAGGCUGAGACCCGAACUGGGUGGGCGCGCUUGGAAUGCACAUUAGGGCAAGGAGGAUGCACAUGGAACUGAAUGAGGAUAUUGAGUGUGCCGGGCAGAACGAGCCCACCAAAACCACAACAGAAGCAUUUGGAGGGGGAAGUAUGCCUGACUGGACCUUAUCACAGAGGCAAUGAGUCAAGUUACCACAACAUAGAAUGUUUAAGAGCUGGAAGUAACUUAUCAAACAUCAAUAUUUAGCUGUGACUUGUAUGUGUGAAAGAAAGGUAGGCCAAUGGAAUGUUGACGAGUAGACGUGCAGGAAUUCAAGUACUUGGGCUCAACACCACAGAGCAGAGGUAAAGAACAAAGUAUAGACAGAAUCAAGUGGAUGGAGGAAAUAAUGACGCAAAAGUACCAGGUACACUUCUGUAUAUAUAUAUUAACACUUGAAGCAGCCAAUCAUGCAUUUGCUUUUGCUUUGUACCCCAUCAACAGGAAAGUGGUCCACUUGCGCUUCUUCUUCCUCUGCAGAAGAAACUACCCGGGCCAGACUCGAACUCAAGGCGGAGAGUUUCUGCGUGGAAGAAAACCCACAAUCAAAUGUCAUUCACAAGCACACCAAGUAGACACUCUAAAGUCUAUUUAAUGAGGUUUGAUUGUAAUUUUUACCUCUAAGUAGCUUUCUGAAUCCAAGGCAUAGUCAUCCUCAUUUGUGUCCUUUAGCUCCUGCUCUGAUUUACUGUCCAGCUAAGAAAAAAAACAACAACAACUAAACAUUAACAGCACAGAAUAGAAUAUACAGUCGAGGUUUGCUAUUGAAUGUGAGAUUUAAUAUCCAUCCAUCCAUUAUCUGUACUGCUUAUUUUAUCGCAAAAAUACAACUGUUUGACUUGAUGUGAGGCUUCACAUAGCCCAGGCAACAAUUGUUAGGCACUCAACCAUCUACCUUUGGUGGGUAAACCAGAUUGAGAGAAUGGUAGAGCCGGAAGUUGAUGAAGCCCAAGAGAGUUGUGUAGAACUCUGUGAAAGUUGCCAUGACUCUGUAGUCAACAUCAGUAGGAUGCUAAAAAGCAAAACAAAGAGCAAAGCAUUUAUUCACAAAUUGUAUCCAACGGUGUACUAUGAACUUUUGGUCUGCUGAAUGCGCAGUAAUUGCAAAUCAUUAUCCAGUAUGCUGUCUUUCAUUAAUGUGCACUUACAUCAUGGGCGAAUUGAUACGGCACCAGCCAUGUAAUUAGCUGCCCCAUCACCUCAACCUGGUAAUAUAUUCCCUUGAUAGAGAUGAAAACCUGCAGGGAACCAAACAACGAAAUGACAGUGUCAAAAAACAUUCCAUUUUGAAAUUGAACUAGACUGUUAUUAGUUAAAGCUCGCACCUUUCUGAGGGCACGGGAGGUUAUCGCAAAGUUCAUCCACUCCACAGUGAGGCGCCGACACAGCUGUAUGGUUUGCACGUGACAUUUCCCUGUCCGAGCAAAUGUGGAGAAAAGGAAGCACAUACAAAGUGCAUCUUCAAUAUCCCGGAGAGCAUCAAUGAAUGUGGGAUACCUGGAAUACAACAACAAUAAAAGUUGUUUGUUAUAGGCG